UUAGGGAGACCUACCCCAUGAGCAACAGCAAUCGCAGUUACACAUGAGGUCAUCCCAAGGUCGGUCGAAGCUGAGUGCUGCUUUCAAACUAUUUCUGGUUCAAUAACGACUGAGAAACUGAUUUCAGUUAUGAAAAACUUGCAAUCCUAUGCAAAAGAUGAUAGGAUGAGAGACCCGUGGCAGAGUUCAGCACCGGUCUUAAACAAGGCAGGAUGCUGGGUUUUUGCCAGCCAGGACCAUGAAAACUGCAUAAGAAAGCGAAGAAAACCAGGAAGGGUAGGUCUUUAGGGACAUACUAAUUCUCAGAAGUAAGU
rnacentral:misc_RNA from 1 species